rnacentral:rRNA from 1 species
CAAUAGCGUAUAUUAAAGUUGUUGCGGUUAAAAAGCUCGUAGUUGGAUUUCUACCGAAGACAGCCGGUCCACACUACGUGUGCGCAUCUGGUGUGACUUCGGUAUCCUCAUGGAGAACAGUUCUGCACUUUAUUGUGUGGACUGGUAUUCAUGACUUUUACUUUGAGGAAAUUAGAGUGUUCACGGCAGGCAAUCGCCCUGAAUACAUUAGCAUGGAAUAAUAAUAUAGGACUUCGGCCCUACUUUUGUUUGGUUUCUAGAGCUGAAGUAAUGAUUAAUAGGGACACUUGGGGGCGAUUCGUUAUUAUUCACGUCAGAAGGUGGAAUU